UACGUAGGGUGCGAGCGUUGUCCGGAAUUAUUGGGCGUAAAGGGCUCGUAGGCGGUUUGUCACGUCGGGAGUGAAAACUCGGGGCUUAACCCCGAGCCUGCUUCCGAUACGGGCAGACUAGAGGUAUGCAGGGGAGAACGGAAUUCCUGGUGUAGCGGUGAAAUUCGUAGAUAUUAGGAAGAACACCGGUGGCGAAGGCGGCCCACUGGUCCGGUACUGACGCUGAGGUGCGAAAGCGUGGGGAGCAAACAGG
rnacentral:rRNA from 1 species